ensembl:lncRNA
GGAAGGUUUAAAGUCACAAUGAUCCUCAGGCAAGUUUUGAAUUUACUAGAAGGCUCUUAGUUAGGAUUUAGAAGUGGACUUAUCGAGGUUGAUUUGAUAUGGAUAACAUCCUUGGGACGUGCGAGUCUCUCGAAAGUUAAAAAAUAAAAAAAAUAUCAGUGAAUGUUGAGAUUGAACUGAUAAGCCUGACUUCUGUCCCUCGACACGACCUUGUAGUUCACACACUUCUGGUUAAACAUGGCACCAAAUUCAUACAGAUACAGUGUAUCCAUCCAUCUUCCAUUGGCCUUCACAGAGCCUUUCCUUAACUAAACAAAUAAAAAAAAAUGUCACAAGAGGCAGAAAUUAUUCGUUUUCCACCAGCACUGGGGUGUCGGCACAGGAUCGUUGGAACUACUGUUCUCACUGGGCACGUUUAGGGCUACUGCAAGAAAUUCACCAGUGAUUGGCAAAUACAGCCCACCGAUUUGUCCAAUGUGAUUUUUAUUUUCUUCCCACGGAAAUUACCCCAUCAAACCUGUCAAAAUGUGAGCCAGUUCUUCAAAAAUACACCAAGGCAGAGCUGGCUCCGCACCAGUGCUGUGCUGGUGGGAAAAGAGGUGUCACUGCUGAAGCUGGAACCAGCAGCCGAUUAGCAUUUCUGAUUUAUUAUCGAAAUAGCUGCUGAUUCAUUCUCCUUCAGUCAUUGCAGCUCUUUCACACAUUCAUAGCAUACUGUAAAUGUAGGGAGCAUGCAAGCUGCUGACCCUAGGACCUCUCCUGGAAAGUGUGUGUGCACGUGCGUGUGUGUGUUGAACCGAUCGCAGUCGCUCACUCGCCAAGUCUUAGACUUUUUGUUUUGUAUUUUCUGUUUCCUGCUCAACUUUUCUUACUCUCAGUCUGAUGAUGUAUACUGCUAUUCUGUACACUUUGCAGUGCCCUGUCUUGGUUGGUUCAGUAUUGUGCCAUGACCUACUUCUUUUUUUUUUUUCUUCUUCUUUUUUUUUAAAUAAUGUACAGACACAAGAGGCAGGAUUUCUGUAUUAGAAAGCACUGUGCAUUCAACAGUAUAGGUAACAGACAUAGAAGCACCACAAAUGUAUAAAAAAGAGAACUUCUUACCUCAUUGUUUUUGUUUUGGUUUUUUUUUGUUUCUGCUAUUAUUUUCUAAUGGUGGCAACAUGUGUGCCCUCUAAUUUGUCUCUUGCCUUGAUCGGAUGUCUACACGUAAAGCCUAUGAUCAUAGGAAAUUAUUUAUCACUGAAUAAAAAGAGAAAAGUGGGUGUGUGUGACUCUGA